rnacentral:rRNA from 1 species
AGGGGGAUAUUGCACAAUGGGCGAAAGCCUGAUGCAGCGACGCCGCGUGGGGGAUGAAGGCUUUCGGGUUGUAAACCUCUUUCGCUAUCGAACAAGGCCCGCUUAGGGUGGGUUGAGGGUAGGUGGAGAAGAAGCGCCGGCUAACUACGUUCCAGCAGCCGCGGUAAUACGUAGGGCGCGAGCGUUGUCUGGAAUUAUUGGGCGUAAAGGGCUUGUAGGCGGCUUGUUGAGCAUGCUGUGAAAACGCGGGGCUUAACUUCGCGCGUGCAGUGGGUACGGGCAGGCUUGAGUGUGGUAGGGGUGACUGGAAUUCCAGGUGUAGCGGUGGAAUGCGCAGAUAUCUGGGGGAACACCGAUGGCGAAGGCAGGUCACUGGGCCAUUACUGACGCUGAGGAGCGAAAGCAUGGGUAGCGAACAGG